GGCACCAUAGCUCAGUGGUCAGAGCACUUGUCUUGCAUUCAGAAGGUCCCAAAUUCAAUUCCUGGCAUCUCCA